GAUGAACGCUAGCUACAGGCUUAACACAUGCAAGUCGAGGGGUAACGAGAGGGAAUCUUGCUGUCCUUGUCGACGACCGGCGCACGGGUGAGUAACGCGUAUCCAACCUGCCCCCAACUAGGGAAUAACCUUGCGAAAGUAAGACUAAUACCCUAUAAUUUCCUCAGAUGUCAUCUGACGAGGAAUAAAGAUUUAUCGGUUGUGGAUGGGGAAGCGUCUGAUUAGCUUGUUGGCGGAGUAACGGCCCACCAAGGCAACGAUCAGUAGGGGUUCUGAGAGGAAGGUCCCCCACAUUGGAACUGAGACACGGUCCAAACUCCUACGGGAGGCAGCAGUGAGGAAUAUUGGUCAAUGGGCGGAAGCCUGAACCAGCCAAGUAGCGUGCAGGAUGACGGCCCUAUGGGUUGUAAACUGCUUUUAUACAGGAAUAAAGUUAGCCACGUGUGGUUAUUUGUAGGUACUGUAUGAAUAAGGACCGGCUAAUUCCGUGCCAGCCGCCGCGGUAG
rnacentral:rRNA from 1 species